GCUCCGGAAAAAAAAAACCCACUAUGGUCUCCUCACUUUCUGAGGCUGGGUCUCACCAGUGUGCUGGUUAGAGAGUGUGAAUGGUUACUAAUGACAGCUCGGCUACCUACCCCAGUCCCUGUGCACAGAGAGAUGCUUCGAGCACUUCUCUGCUGACUCAGCAUCAUUUAUUGCGCACCUGCCCUUCUGUACCACAUACAGUGUCAGACGACACGGCCUGGGGUCGCAAAGCUGCUCGUGACUUUGGAGGACUCUCCACCUUGCUUUGAAUCUCAGACUGACACCUGUCCAGAUGUGGGAUCUAUUACUGUUGGGGAGAUGCCAUGUCCUCAAACUGUCCUCAGGGUCACACUCUCCCAAUUACCACAGCGGGCUCCUCGCGACUUUUUCAAAGGAAAAGAUCUCCAGGACAAAGCCAGUGCUUCCUGCCAUCACCACACGGGGGCGUCCGCAAGAUGUAGCUACGUGGCAGCAGGGCCCUGAGCAGUUCACUCCAGUUUACUGCUCCAUCUGCACUCCUGUCUUUUCAGGGGUCAGGGAAGAAUGUGUUCCAGCUCAUCCAGGGCGAGCCCGCGGGGCUACCAUGUUCUCUUUAAUGGCGACCCUUGUGACUAAUCAUUGACUUUCCUGACCACACUGUUUAGCCACCCUACCCCAUGUCCCAUGGGGCUUGUUUGAUCAAGCUCUUAGGAAGUUAAUAAAUGUUAUUAUGGCAGGA
rnacentral:lncRNA from 1 species